CAGUUUCAACCUGCUGUGGACAAAUCCAGUGUAUAUGUGUAUCAAUCCCGCCAGCAGUCAGAAUUUGCCCUUCUCCAGCGAUUACUUCCGUCGCGGCACCUAAUGGAAUGGUAAUAUCAGGUUGAAUAUCCGGGUUACCAGCUUUACCAAUUUUCCAGAUUCGACCAUUUUUUAAUCCUACAUCGGCUUUAACAAUGCCCCACCAAUCGACAAUUAAAGCAUUGGUAAUCACGGUAUCGGCCACUUCAUCUGCGAGGAGUUGUGAUUGUCCCAUACCAUCACGAAUUA
rnacentral:sRNA from 1 species